GCAAGUCGAGGGGUAACAGGGAUUGCUUGCAAUCUGCUGACGACCGGCGCACGGGUGCGUAACGCGUAUAGAAUCUACCUUGUACUGAGGGAUAGCCCAGAGAAAUUUGGAUUAAUACCUCAUAGUAUGUAAAGAUGGCAUCAUUUUUACAUUAAAGGUUACGGUAUAAGAUGACUAUGCGUCCUAUUAGCUAGAUGGUGUGGUAACGGCACACCAUGGCAACGAUAGGUAGGGGCCCUGAGAGGGGGAUC
rnacentral:rRNA from 1 species